GUAUGUUGGGAGAAUAUAUACAGAUCCCUCUGCUGAAGUCCUGACUAAACCUCAGUGUGCUAUACUGGGAGAUAGGAGUAAGGAGGUGUAUGAAGCCUAAUGUGGUCCUUGAAGUGACCUUUAGCAGGGCCUGUGCUAAAGCAGUAGAAACUGUUGCAGUAAAUAUCAGCAGUGUGUAUGUGUGCAUACGCACAUGCUAAAUAAUUUGCCAAACAAGUACUCAGGGAGACAACACCUACAACUCACCAGAGAAUAAGCCUAAUGUGGUCCUUGAAGUGACCUUUAGCAGGGCCUGUGCUAAAGCAGUAGCAGCAGAAACUGUUGCAGUAAGUAUCAGCAGGGUGUGUGUGUGUGUGUGUGUGUGUGUGUAUGUGCGUAUGCACAUGCACAUACUAAAGAACUUGCCAAACAAGUACUCAGGGAGACAACACCUACAAUUCACCAGAGAAUAAGCCUAGGGAAUGGUCACACCCAGCUUGUACCACAUGAAAAGACUCCAGGCUCCAGACUAGUGCAGGAUGAAGCUCUGCUGUUGUGCCCUAAGCCAUGGACAACUAUCAGCUAUGGCAGCCCAUUGUGUCCAGGGCAGGUAGGAGAUGGUGCAGAGUCCUACUGUCUGGGCUUCUGAAGGGACUUUGCUUCUUCACAGUAAUAAUCUUGUCUUUUAUGUCCAGGGGUUGUCUCCAGCAUGGCCGAAAGCAGGAGUUCAAGGCAAAACCCGUUUUGAUGAUUUGGGAAUAAAAACAAAUGUAUGAGGGGAAAGGAAACUCAGAAGAGGAAUAAAAUCUAAAAUCAGUCUAAAGAACCUAGAACAGGAGAACUGAACUCUGCCUACCAUUUCAGUCUUCUGGUUUCCCUGUGUUUUCAGCUGCACAGACAUGGCUGGCUCUCAGAGUCCCAGGAGCCUCAGGUUCUUACCCUGCCUGAGACUGUCCCUUUCCAGGCUGACCUCUAAUUCACUGUGGCAGUAUUAGGCUAACUGGAAACAUCUUGGGCAUUGGUUAGUCUUCGUACUGUUCUUAUAGCUAGUUGUUUAGCUAUUUACAACUGCUAAGAUCUUAUAACAGAAAAGUGGCAAGAGAAACCACUUUCU